UACGGAGGGUGCUAGCGUUGUUCGGAAUUACUGGGCGUAAAGCGCGUGUAGGCGGCCGAUUAAGUCUGGUGUGAAAGCCCGGGGCUCACCCCCGGAAGUGCGCUGGAAACUGGUCGGCUAGAGUAUGGGAGAGGAAAGUGGAAUUCCCGGUGUAGCGGUGAAAUGCGUAGAUAUCAGGAGGAACACCUGUGGUGUAGACGGCUUACUGGACCAUGACUGACGCUGAGGCACGAAAGCGUGGGGAGCAAACAGG
rnacentral:rRNA from 1 species